AGAGUUUGAUCCUGGCUCAGGACGAACGCUGGCGGCGUGCCUAACACAUGCAAGUCGAACGAAGCACUGUGGAUAGAGACUUCGGUCAAUUGAAGCUUUGACUUAGUGGCGGACGGGUGAGUAACGCGUGAGGAACCUGCCUUUCAGAGGGGGACAACAGUUGGAAACGACUGCUAAUACCGCAUGAAGCAGCGAGAUCACAUGGUCUUGCUGCCAAAGAUUUAUCGCUGAAAGAUGGCCUCGCGUCUGAUUAGAUAGUUGGUGAGGUAACGGCUCACCAAGUCGACGAUCAGUAGCCGGACUGAGAGGUUGAACGGCCACAUUGGGACUGAGAUACGGCCCAGACUCCUACGGGAGGCAGCAGUGGGGAAUAUUGGGCAAUGGGGGAAACCCUGACCCAGCAACGCCGCGUGAAGGAAGAAGGCUUUCGGGUUGUAAACUUCUUUUACCAGGGACGAAGAACGUGACGGUACCUGGAGAAAAAGCCACGGCUAACUACGUGCCAGCAGCCGCGGUAAUACGUAGGUGGCAAGCGUUGUCCGGAUUUACUGGGUGUAAAGGGCGUGUAGGCGGGGCUGCAAGUCAGAAGUGAAAUCUAUGGGCUUAACCCAUAAACUGCUUUUGAAACUGUGGCUCUUGAGUAUCGGAGAGGCAGGCGGAAUUCCUAGUGUAGCGGUGAAAUGCGUAGAUAUUAGGAGGAACACCAGUGGCGAAGGCGGCCCGCUGGACGACAACUGACGCUGAGGCGCGAAAGCGUGGGGAGCAAACAGGAUUAGAUACCCUGGUAGUCCACGCUGUAAACGAUGAAUACUAGGUGUGGGGGGACUGACCCCCUCCGUGCCGCAGUUAACACAAUAAGUAUUCCACCUGGGGAGUACGAUCGCAAGAUUGAAACUCAAAGGAAUUGACGGGGGCCCGCACAAGCAGUGGAUUAUGUGGUUUAAUUCGACGCAACGCGAAGAACCUUACCGGGAUUUGACAUCCUACUAACGAAGCAGAGAUGCAUUAGGUGCCCUUCGGGGAAAGUAGAGACAGGUGGUGCAUGGUUGUCGUCAGCUCGUGUCGUGAGAUGUUGGGUUAAGUCCCGCAACGAGCGCAACCCUUAUCCUCAGUAGCCAGCAAGUGAAGUUGGGCACUCUGUGGAGACUGCCAGGGAUAACCUGGAGGAAGGUGGGGAUGACGUCAAAUCAUCAUGCCCCUUAUGAUUUGGGCUACACACGUGCUACAAUGGCGUAAACAAAGGGAAGCGAUCACGCGAGUGUGAGCAAAUCUCAGAAACAACGUCCCAGUUCGGACUGCAGGCUGCAACUCGCCUGCACGAAGUCGGAAUUGCUAGUAAUCAUAGGUCAGCAUACUAUGGUGAAUACGUUCCCGGGCCUUGUACUCACCGCCCGUCA
rnacentral:rRNA from 1 species